ensembl:lncRNA
UUUCGAUUUAAGAGAUAAGAACAUAUAAAUGCUUUUAUCUGUUAUAUAAACUGUUUUUUUUUUUUUUUUUUUUUUUUUUUUUUUUAUAUUUUUAUCUCAUAUAUAUAUAUAUAUAUAUAUAUAUAUUAGGGCAAAAUAAACAUGCUUAAAAAAAUUAUGCGCAUUUGUUUUAUAAAAAUUAAACAAAUAUAUGCAUAUGCGAACAUGCAGAUGUAUUUUUAAUUUAAUUUAGUUUGACUUAGUAUAACCCAAUUUAAUUUAAUUUAAUUCUUUCACUUUUAAUACUAUAAUUACAAAAACGAAGUAUAUAGAGAUAAAAAUCAUAUGUUCAUGGUUUAUAUAAAUAAUUAAGUAAACAGAUGAAUAAAAAUAGAUGCAAACAUACAUGCACAGAUAUAUACAUACACACCCAUAUACACAAAAGCACUGUGUGGAAUGCUUCUAUUGACCGUGCUUCCAAUAUAGUUUAGUUGUUAUCGGUAGAAAAAAAAAAAAAGUCAAAAAUAAGGAAAACUCAUUUAAAAUGAAUGAAACAAAAUUUUAUAAAUGGUAUUUAGAAAAUGGCUGCGAAUUUGUACCUCUGAAAAAAAGCUAUAACAAGGAAAACAACUACUCUUUAACACUACUGGACAUACAGGCUGAUUUUUCCGAAUUUUUAAUUGAAGAAAAGAAUAUUAUAAAGGAUGAAGAGCUGGUAAACCUUGUAAAAGAAAACAAAUCUACUGCUUCCUAUUAUAAUAAACCAUUUAUGCAAAAAGAAAAGAAUAUUAUAACUCCACCAGUAACGGAAAAUAAAUAUGUAUAUACGAUAGAUCAUUUAUGGGCAUAUAUGAGAUGGCAUUAUAAUUUUGAGGAUGAAAUUAAUGUACAGAAACAUUUAGUUAGUGAUAUAAGUAAGUUAAAAAAGAUUCCUAAAUUAUACGUUUCUGCUCAUAUAAUUGAUGGUAUGAUUAAUAACUUGUCAAAGGAUGAGAAUAUAUGUAUUUUAAAAUAUACUACAAAUAGUAAUUUUUAUAGUCAAUGUCCUACCAAUGAGUUAAAUAAUAAAAAUGAAGGAUUAUAUAAAAAUAAUUUAUAUAACAACAAAAACACAUGUAAGUAUAUAUAUGAAGUAUGUGACAUAGCAGAUAAAUCGUUAGUUUUUGCAACAAGUCCGGUUAUUAAUACAACUAUUAAAAAUAUCAUAAGUAUAACGAAAAGUGGAAAGAAAAGGCAAGACUUUAAUGCAGAAGAAGGAAAAAGAGGUGAAGAAGAGGAAGAAGAAAAUGAAAUGAUGAUAGAAGAUGAAAUAUGGCAAAUUUACAUAUCGAAAAGGAUAAGACAGAUAAAUGAUGAAUGGUUAUUAGUUUUUAUUAAUGAAGAAUUAAAGAAUAUAAUAAAUAAAUCAGAAGAUUUAUAUUUUAAAAUGUUUAAUAAAUAUAUUAAAGAGUACAAUGAGUAUGUAAAAACUCAUAGUUAUAUUUUAACAAAUGAACAGAAUAUGGUGGCUAAUAACAGUAUGAGGAAUAUGUAUAAAAGUGGUACUACUAAUAAUAAUACUAAUGAGUAUGAAUCAAGUAGUGCUUACAAAAAUUUAAUAUCCGAUAAAUUAAAAAAGUACAAAAUAAAUUUAAUUUAUUCUGAAAAUAAAGACAUUAAUUAUAUUAUAUAUAAAUUAUGUUUAGAUAUGGGAAUUCUAAAUGAUGCUGUUUUAUGUACAAAAAAUAAAACAUUUAAUAUUUUAAUGAACGAUAUUGAUGGUACAUUUGCGAUAUGUUUAAAGACUUUUUUUUCUAAGUAUUAUAGCGAUACAUUAACAGAUAAUAAAACAGCAGGAGAAAAUGGUUUAGUUUCUUCAAACUUGAAUAUAAUAAAUGAAAAUAAAUUAAAACAAUACGAUGAAAAUGAUUUAAUAAAAACAUUAUCUAUUAUGGGGUUAUGUAAAGAAAAAAUAGUUUUAACUGAAAAGGCGACCAUAUUUAAUGACAUUGAGUUGUUGUUUUCGUAUUACUUGAUAGUGAACAAUGAGGCACUUAUCAUGGAUAGCGGCUCUGUAGCUCCCACUGCUUCCACUAACGGGGUUGACCAUGACGAUGGAGUGAUUUACAUAAGUGAAGAAGCACUGUUCAAGAACCUACAAUUUUCCAUCGAAGAGAUUUGUAGCUACUUAUUACAUUUGCAAAAGUACAGCAUGAAUAAUUUGCUAUAUAUAAAAAAUAAAGGAUUUAGGUAUUUAAAAAAUGAAAUAGUGUAUGAAUUUUUAAUUAAAUUAAUAGAGUUAAUUAGUAUUAAUGAUGGAUUAUAUGAAAAUAUAUAUAUUGAAAAAAGUAAAAGUAAAAAUAAAUAUUUUAGGAAGUAUCAAAAAGAGCUACGUUCUGUAUUAAAAAAAAGGUAUGGUAUACAUAUAUUAGCCAUUUUAAAUUUAGUGAAUGAAAAUAUAGGUGAUUUUGAAUUUUUAAAAAGAAAUAAAAUACCAAUAGAAAGUUAUGUUAUUUUGCAACUGUGUUGGAACUGUUGUGAUAUUCAAAAUGUUCAUUUUGAAUAUUUUAAUAUUUUUUAUAAUUAUUAUUUUUUUUAUGCAUAUUUAAACACUGGUUCGGACGAGUUAACAUACGAACAUAUAUUUAAAGAAUUCAUGAAUUUUUUAAACAAUGAGCAAUACAUUAACGAAACCAUAAUAAGUUUCAAUUUGUUUAAACUUCAUAGUAUUAUGUCUAUAAAUAUUUUAAGGUCUAAUGGGAAAGUCGUGAUACAUUCAGACAAGCUAUUUACCUUUGACAUGGAUAUGUUUCGAUAUAUAAAAUAUAUUGAUGAGAAUUUUCAAAGCUUUAAUUCUAAUUUUAUGAAUAAAAUUAUACAAGAUUUUAUAAGAAUGUAUCAUUUUUUUUUAGAUUAUGGUUAUGAUAAAAAAAAAGUCACUGACACGUCGUUUAGUGGUAAUGAUAACAACCACGAUGGGGUGACAGUAACUGGAAUGAACGAAAAAAAAAAUGGUACUUUAAAUAGUAGUAGUAAUAAUAAUAAUAAUAAUAAUAAUGGUGAAAAAAAUGAAGAAAAUGAUGAUGAUGAUGAGGAUAAUGAAUUAAUUUCCGCAAGUACUUACAAAAAUAGAGUGGUUUAUCGAAAUAACAAAAUUUUAAAUGUAAAUAAUAUAAAUCAUAUAUGUAACAACACAUCCAUGUUUGAGUAUUUUAUUGUUACCAAAUAUUAUUAUUAUGAAAAUAAUUUUUCUUUAUUGGAAAUAAAAUUAAAAAAAUUUUUAAAAACUGUUGAAGAAGAUUAUACAAACAGUCUUUCUUUUUAUGAUAAUUAUAAUAAUUCUAAUUCCGAAUAUAAUAUACAUCAAAAUUACACAUCAAAACGUGAUAAAUUAAAAAGCAAUUAUUGUUUGAAUUAUAAAAUUUUAAAAUAUCAAACAACGUCUUUCCCCUAUAUCAGAUUAAACAAUAAUUAUAAUGACCUUCUAAAUUCAGUUUACACUCCUUUGUCUCUACACUGUUCUAUUUUCCAUGAAAAUGUUAUUUAUAAUCAAAAACAAAACACAUUUCAGUAUAUACCUCAAUUCUUAAUAAAAGAUAAUUUGAGGAGUCGAUUAACUGCUUUAUUUACUUUUAAAAAUUCAUACUAUGCGCAAGAAUUGUACCCCUUUUUAAAUCCGCUCCUGAACAACAAGGUUAUCCAUGCGUGUGUAAAUAUAUGCACAUGCAUACUACAUAUAUACAUACAUAUAUAUAAAUAUAUAUAUGUAUACAUCUUCAGUUUUU